rnacentral:rRNA from 1 species
GCGAAGAGCGGGUCAGCGGCGGCGGUAAUAGGUAGGGGGCAAGCGUUGUCCGGAAUGACUGGGCGUAAAGAGCGCGCAGGCAGCCAAGGCAGUCGAAUGUGAAAGCCCCCGGCUUAACUGGGGAGGGUCAUUCGAUACUGCUUGGCUCGAAGACAGGAGAGGGAAGCGGAAUUCCCGGUGUAGUGGUGAAAUGCGUAGAUAUCGGGAGGAACACCAGUGGCGAAGGCGGCUUUCUGGCCUGUUCUUGACGCUGAGGCGCGAAAGCUAGGGGAGCAAACGGGAUUAGAUACCCUGGUAGUC